rnacentral:lncRNA from 1 species
AAUACAGGAGUGUUUAUGGUUGGGUUGAGACACAUUCAGUAGCUGAGUGAUUGACAGCAAGAGGAGCAAGACAUGAGGAGCUGGUGACACAGUUAUUAUGGAAGGAUAACUGAUAGUCUUAAGUUAAUAAUUAUCAAAUAUAUGGCAAUGCUGGACUUUAGCUGAUCAUCGUGCUUCUGGAAAACAACAAAAAUUGAGAUAUCUGUUCACCACUUUGUGUGUCCAAGGACCACCUACUUUUUACAUGUGACAAGAACUACCCACCUCCACUCUUCAGGAUAGAACAUGCUGAAGAAAAGAGUUGCAAUGAGAAAAUAUAUGGGAACAAAAUACCUAUGCAAUGCAGAAGUCUGCAUAACUGAACCACUCAGAGGAAAAAGUUUCCCUCCCAGGCUGGAGUACAAUGGCGCGACCUCGGCUCACUGCAACUUCCACCUCCCAGUUCAAGCAAUUCUCCCACCUCAGCUUCCUUAGUAGCUGGGAUUACAAGUGCCUGACACCAGGCCAAGCUAUUUUUGUAUUUUUAGUAGAGACGGGGUUUCACCAUUUUGACCAGGCUGGUCUCAAACUCCUGACCUCAGUCCAUCGGUCCACCUCGGCCUCCCAAAGUGCUGGGAUUGCAGGCAUGAGCCACCGCUCCUGGCCUCAAGUUUAAUUCUUAAAUUGCCAUUUCAGGACACCUCCUACAUCUGAGGAAAUAUGCAUUGAUCUUGCAGUACUUUUCUCCUCCAAAUAAAAGUCAGUAUGAUAAC